rnacentral:rRNA from 1 species
UACGUAGGGGGCUAGCGUUGUCCGGAUUCAUUGGGCGUAAAGCGCGUGUAGGCGGCCAGGUAGGUCCGUUGUGAAAACCCGAGGCUUAACCUCGGGACGCCGACGGAAACCAUCUGGCUAGGGUCCGGAAGAGGAGAGUGGAAUUCCCGGUGUAGCGGUGAAAUGCGCAGAUAUCGGGAAGAACACCCGUGGCGAAGGCGGCUCUCUGGGCCGGUACCGACGCUGAGACGCGAAAGCGUGGGGAGCGAACAGG